AACAGGAUUAGAUACCCUGGUAGUCCACGCCGUAAACUAUGGAUGCUAGCUGUAAGAAGUAUCGACCCUUCUUGUAGCGAAGCUAACGCGUUAAGCAUCCCGCCUGUGGAGUACGGUCGCAAGACUAAAACAUAAAGGAAUUGACGGGGACCCGCACAAGCGGUGGAGCGUGUUGUUUAAUUCGAUGGUAAGCGAAGAACCUUACCCAGGCUUGACAUCCUGUGAAGGUCUCCGAAAGGAGACUGUGCCUUCGGGAAUACAGUGACAGGUGAUGCAUGGCCGUCGUCAGCUCGUGUCGUGAGAUGUUUGGUUAAGUCCAUCAACGAGCGCAACCCUUGUAGUUAGUUGUAUUUUUCUAGCUAGACUGCCCUGGUAACAGGGAGGAAGGGGGGGAUGAUGUCAGGUCAGUAUUUCCCUUACGUCUGGGGCUACAAACACGCUACAAUGGCCGGUACAAAGGGCAGCCAAAGCGCAAGCUGGAGCAAAUCCCAUCAAAGCCGGUCCCAGUUCGGAUAGCAGGCUGAAACUCGCCUGCUUGAAGAUGGAAUCGCUAGUAACGGUAGGUCAGCACACUACCGUGAAUACGUUCCCGGGUCUUGUACACACCGCCCGUCAAACCACGAAAGUCGCCAAUACCUGACGUGUUAGCUUUGCCUAGCCCUAAGGUAGGGGAGAUGAUUGGGGUUAAGUCGUAACAAGGUAACC
rnacentral:rRNA from 1 species